rnacentral:lncRNA from 1 species
CACUUUCCUGUCUUUGAUUCUCAGGGGUUUGAUUGAGUUCAUAUCAAUUUUUGCAGUGCGCGGUCUUUUGGUGGCACCCUAGGUUGGAUCUAUUUUCUAUCAUCUGUGAGUUUCUCCUCCCUUAGAUCUUAAGACGCUCUGCUGUUGAGGUUUUGCUGAAAACAGUUGAUUUUGAGGAGGUUUACAUGAGAGUGAUGUUAACAUUAUAGCAUUGUAGAGAUGAUAUGUUGUAGGAAAAGUGUUCAGUGCUUACUUUUAGAUGUGAUUUCGAGUGAAAAGUUUAUAUUGGGUGCUUUACAUUAUAUCAUAUAUGGAAAGAUUGGUGCUAUCUAUUAUGAAUGGUUUUCUAAUUCCUAUAUCUUAUGACUCCUUAUGAGUUGUUGUUUUUCCACCUAUAUGAUCACAAGCAUCUUAUAGUGCAUUUGCUUUGUUAUUAGAUCCAUGGGACUCUUGGUAAGCUGGUUUAUGAUAUCUUAGGUUAUGCAUGAAUCACUACAUGUUUGAUGGCAUUUUGUGAACUCAUGGGGUGAAAUUAGCUCUCUUGAUGGUCAAUCUUACAAGUUUAAGAUUUGUUUUAUACACUUUGGGUGCCUGAUAAUUCUAUGGAAUUAGUUUAGGUAAUUAAUAGACAAUGAUAUUUGUUUAUCCCUCGUGAAGCACCAGGUUCGGUAGAUUAUUGGAGCUGUCUAUAUUUCAGGGGAGCACAAAUGACAGAAUCAUCCAGUAACAUUGGAUUUUAUAUGCACUGUGAGUCCAUUUAGAACAGUACUGUUCCCUGUUUCUACUAAUGGAAAAGUCAGUUAUCCAAACAUUAAACCAGUGAGUUUAUUUAGCAAUUUUUACUUUUCAGGAUCUAUGGUUUCUCUAUUUGUUAGUGACAUGUUUAAUUUUAAUGAAUUCAUGUUUUUUUUUACUUCUCGUUGUUGAAUCAUGCAGUUUCACUAUUAAAUGUAUCUAGCCUAACCCUAUAAAACCUGCUCCAUGAUGCUUUGGUUUUUUUUGCAAACUUAUGUGC